ensembl:lncRNA
UGUGUGUGUGUGUGUGUGUGUAUUGUGAGUGUGUGUCGGGCGUGACUGUGGGUGUUACACACACUGUGGGAAGAUUCCUCAGAUGCCCAGUUUGAUUAAAACUCAGGAUUCCACCACACACACAAACACCUGACAGGCGCUGACAGGCAGUCAGUCUUCUCCACACCCUUUCCUGUGCUCCUGCGCGCUGAAAUGGGUUCACUCCAUGGGUUGAAUAUCAUGACUUGGCCACAGAAUUGUUGAGGUUUGUGUCUUCAUUGUGCACGUGCCGGGGGUUAAUGACACAGGAGCCUGCUUGUGUGAGAAGGAGGCGAUUUUCUCAGCUCCUUCAGAAGAGAGGGAAAAACGGUUCAGUCAAAACUCAAACCAACUUUGAAGUUGUCUGAUUUGGAGAGUCAUCAUUCUUGGUUAUUGUAGAAGCCAUUGAUGAAGAACAGGCAGUGACUGGGAUGAAUGCUGGUCAAAGAAUAUAAUGUCCUUUCCCCCAAACUGAUGCAAUAGUGAUUUUAAUAUUGCUCUGUAUAAUGUAAAAGAUGUUACAUGCCUUUGCUGUGCUGAUGGGGCUUCUUCAUGACUACAUCAAUUAUCCUAAAGAGAUCAUGAAAAUUGACAGUGAUGCAGGACCUGUAUAUUUAUGGACUAUGAAACAAACUGUAAGUGUAUAGUUUGUAAAAACAAAAUAUUAAAUGAUUGUUCUGUUUAGUAGAAAUGGAGUUUACACUCUGUCAUUAAUUCACAUGCUCACAUUCUUUCACACAUAUGUUUCUAAUAAAUGUUAUACAAUCAGUCUUAAUGUUGUGGUUUAUUUACUGCCAUGCCAG